AUCUUUUCCAGUCCACUCCUUCCUGUGUCCCCAGACAUCUCCCCUAUGCAGGACCCAACCUUACAGACGCUGUACAUCCGUAACUCCUAUUGUGUUUGUCCUUCUCUUUCGGCAGCUUUGGCAGAGUCUGCAAUGGAAGUCUGCCUUCCUCUGAUCACUGAUCUCCCCCAGGACUGCACAUAUUCCUUUGCACCUCCUCCUAUGUGAAGAACCAGUGUUUGCAGCAUGCCUGUGUAACGUGUUGGGUGGUGGAUACAUAUGUACACAUGACAUUGGAAGAUGCGAAAAGGCUGUAAUUCCAGGUUGCUCCAUUUUCACGAUGUUUGACAGAUUUUAAUGAGGCAGUGUUAAGAGCAGUCUGAGACUUUAUUCCAACUGACCAUGUUAUGCUCUAAAAGACCCAGGAUUUCAGCAUGUGUAGUAAGCCACCAUGCUUCCACUGAGGUUAAUGGAAUCAGCGUUUUGAAUCACCUGAGAAUCAGCGAUCAUGGACUGAACCAAAAGGGUUACAAUAACAGUCUGCAGAAACAAGACAACACACACACACUGGAUUCAGGUCUACAUGAAGUGAUAAUUCAUUUAAUACCAUAAAGGCUGCAUUUCCAGUGUUACAGGAAGAGGCAUUUUAUGAUAUGAAGAGAAAAGGUAAACACAAAGAUGUGAAGGCAGAAGAUACCUGUUCUUUGAGGAUGUACAGCUCCCUGCUGCAGGCUAACAGAGUCAGCUUCUCUGGACUUCCCAGGAGUGUCUUCCCAGGGCCCUUAGACAAGGGAUUUCAUCAUCAUGCACAGAUCCAAAAUACUUCCUUGGGGCUACAGUGACAACUAAAGCAACACGACGUAAAGUCUACACAGAUGUUCUUAUCUAUUGAAAAAGCUCAUUCUGGCUCAACUAGCAAUUAAGCAGCAGCAGUCCCUAGCAGCUGCCAGUAGCUGAAAAGGCACAGAAAAAAAGCCACAGUUACCCCCGGGACUGACCUAUGCACACAUUUUCAUCGUCCAGCUCUGCAGAAGCAUUUCUGAAGUAGCCCAGCCUGCAUAACUCACAGUGCUGACCUCUAGUGUUGUGCUUACAGCUCACGCAAAUGACCGUAUUGAGCAGCUCGAUGUAACUGCACCGGUUGGAGUGCCCGAAGCAUUCACAGUCUUUCAAGGAAGAACAGAAAUGUAUACAAAAUGUAUACAGCAGCAGAGUAAUAGCACAUUACAUGCUCAGUAAAAAUGAACUAUGAGAAGAAGUAUGAAUGAAUGGCACGUACAUGUUAAUCAAUGUAAUAUGGACAACAGCAGACGUUUAUCUGCAAUGGAAGUGAGGUUUGUUUCAGGCAGGUUAGUGUGACCGACCAUGGCAUGACGUCAAAGGCUGGUUGCUAUUGGCAGACCUGAUGGAACUGAAGCAUUUGCAGUUGUAAACCUUUCACGAGUAUUGGAGGCUCAGUUUCUGCUGAUAGAAAUGCAUGUCUUUUUUGCAUAUUUGAGAUGACUAUAAAGCAAGACACAGAAAAAUCUUCCUCAUAUUAAAAAUAUUGCAUACAGAGGACAGAACUGUCAAACUUCAGCAUGUUUAAAUCUACAGUGGUAGAUUAAAAAAAAAAAAGCUUUGUUCUGACAUAAGUGGUGAGCAUUCAAAACUAGUACUGAAUUCAGCUCAGGGUACUGUAACUAGUCGGCACCUUGGGAUGGAGCUGUUUUAUUCAAGACCAGAUAAAUUUUGAGUUUGACAAUUGUGGUGAGAGCCUCCUAAAACAGUUGAAACAGGAGAGGAAAAAAAAAAAAGAAGGAAGAGAAGUAUUAUUUAAGAGCCAUUUCUGACACAUUUCUAAGGUAAGUAUUAACCCAGUUUUAUUUCAGACAUGAGGAACAAUUGGUCCAGAAAAGAGCUUGAAAACUGAAAUGUGUGCUGAAUAGAAAGCAUACUUAUCACAGCCAUCUGAAUUGCAGCUGGCAUGACAGCCUCGUUUGAAAAAAAAACAAAACAAAAAAAAACAAAAACAAACCUAUGGUAAGUAUAGAAUGCUACUGCCUCUUAGUAAUUAAUCACAAGCAAUAUGUGGUUUUAUUCAGAAAAAUAAAAAUUAGGAAA